rnacentral:rRNA from 1 species
AACAGCUCAAAUUUGAAAUCUGGCCCUUCCGGGGUCCGAGUUGUAAUUUGUAGAGAGUGCUUCGGGGGAGAWGGCGGUCUAAGUCCAUUGGAACAUGGUGUCAGAGAGGGUGAGAAUCCCGUACGUGACCGCGGAUCGAACCCGUGUGAAGCCUCUUCGACGAGUCGAGUUGUUUGGGAAUGCAGCUCAAAAUGGGUGGUAAAUUUCAUCUAAAGCUAAAUACUGGCUGGAGACCGAUAGCGCACAAGUAGAGUGAUCGAAAGAUGAAAAGCACUUUGGAAAGAGAGUUAAACAGUACGUGAAAUUGUUGAAAGGGAAGCGCUGGCAACCAGACCUGCCCGUGGGCGAUCAACCGCUGUUCUCAGCGGUGCACUCGUUCUGCGAUCAGGCCAGCAUCGGUUUCGGCGGUCGGAUAAAGGCCUUGGGAAUGUAGCUUCCUUUCGGGGGAGUCUUAUAGCCCUCGGUGCAAUGCGGCCAGCCGGGACCGAGGACCGCGCUUCGGCUAGGAUGCUGGCGUAAUGGUUGUCAGCGACC